rnacentral:rRNA from 1 species
CCUACGGGUGGCUGCAGUGGGGAAUAUUGCGCAAUGGGCGAAAGUCUGACGCAGCGACGCCGCGUGAGGGAUGAAGGUUUUCGGAUCGUAAACCUCUGUCAGGAGGGAAGAAAGCGCAUGGCGCUAAUCAGCCAUGCGUUGACGGUACCUCCAACGGAAGCGCCGGCUAACUCCGUGCCAGCAGCCGCGGUAAUACGGAGGGCGCGAGCGUUAAUCGGAAUUACUGGGCGUAAAGCGCGCGUAGGCUGUAUGGCAAGUUGGGGGUGAAAUCCCAGGGCUCAACGGGGGAACUGCCGUUGAUACUGCGCGACUUGAGUCCGGGAGAGGAUGGUGGAAUUCCAGGUGUAGGAGUGAAAUCCGUAGAUAUCUGGAGGAACAUCAGUGGCGAAGGCGGCCAUCUGGAUCGGAAUUGACGCUGAGGCGCGAAAGCGUGGGGAGCAAACAGGAUUAGAUACCCUUGUAGUC